GACGAACGCUGGCGGCGUGCUUAACACAUGCAAGUCGAACGGAAAGGCCCUGCUUUUGUGGGGUGCUCGAGUGGCGAACGGGUGAGUAACACGUGAGUAACCUGCCCUUGACUUUGGGCUAACUUCAUGAAACUUGGGCUAAUACCGGAUAUGAGCUCCUGCUGCAUGGUUGGGGUUGGAAAGUUUCGGCGGUUGGGGAUGGACUCGCGGCUUAUCAGCUUGUUGGUGGGGUAGUGGCUUACCAAGGCUUUGACGGGUAGCCGGCCUGAGAGGGUGACCGGCCACAUUGGGACUGAGAUACGGCCCAGACUCCUACGGGAGGCAGCAGUGGGGAAUAUUGCACAAUGGGCGGAAGCCUGAUGCAGCAACGCCGCGUGCGGGAUGACGGCCUUCGGGUUGUAAACCGCUUUCGCCUGUGACGAAGCGUGAGUGACGGUAAUGGGUAAAGAAGCACCGGCUAACUACGUG
rnacentral:rRNA from 1 species